GUUAAAUUACAAAACUAUGAUUCAAAUGAAAACAGAUCGAACACACACAUCCAUUACCACUUCUUUUAGACUAUUAUUGUUUCAAUUACAUCAGCUUAUCACCAUCAGAGAACCACCAACAGAAUAAUACACACGCACACAUUUUACUAUAUUCUCUAAUCUAUUACAUGUACAAUCAGUUUUUGUAAAUAGAAAUGAAUGAAAAUGAACAGAAUUGAAACCCUAAGUGCUCUAUGUGUGUUUUGUGCGUGUGACUGGAAUUUGGGGGGGUGAGAGCAGCCGGCGGCUGCUCGCGGCCGGAGGCGGCGCGGCGGCAGUCGCCGCCUUUUUCCUUUGUCUGUCUGAAACGAGAGAAAGAUGGUUAGGGCUGCUGUAAAAAAAAAAAAAAAAGAGAGAGAAGAGAAGGUAGAACAGGGGAGGGAGAGAGAGAGAUAGGAGGGAGGACUUAUCUUCUCCGGUGACGACGACGCGGCGGCAUCGGCAGCGGCGACGCGGCGGCGGAAGCACCGAGCUGUUCCUGGUCGGCCGGAAAAGAGGAAAAGAGGGGGAGCUCAGAUCUGGAGCCUACCUUCCCGGCGACGCAAGGCUCGGCCUCCACCGCGAUUCCAGCCAGACGAACGACGGAGGAGGCGACGGACGGCGGCCGAGCUCCUUCACGGCGAGGCGCAUGCAUCGAUUCCGCCGAGGGAGGAAGGGAGAAGAUGAGUGAGCAGAGGGAGGCGCCGGCAACGGCGGCUUUGCUGCUGCUGUCCGGCCAACGAUGGAGAAUGAGAUGGAGAGAAGGGCGGCGGCCAUGGCUGUCCUGUGGUCGCCGGAGCAGCUCACGGCGGAGCUCGCGAGGAAAACAGUGAGAGAGAGACGAUCGAGUGAGAUAGAGUUGAGGGAAGAGGGCGAGAAGUGAGAGGGAGAGAGGGAGGUAGAGCCGCCGGCCUCCGGCGACGGCGCGACCGUCCGGUGGCGGCGGCAGGCAGGAAGCCGAGAGGGAGAGAGAGGCGUAAGAGUGAGAGAGCGGCUGAUGAUGCUUGUGUGCUGAUGUGUGUGUUUUGUAUAUUUAUAUGUGUGUUAUAGAAUUAGGGUUUAAAUUUUAGGAUUUAUUAUUUAAUUUGUGUGGGCCGAAAAUUUUUAUAAAAAAGAAAGAGAGUGGGCCGAUUUUUAUUUCUAUGUGGGCCGAUUUUAUUUUAAUUCUGCUGGGCCCUUUUUGUUCUUAAUUGAUGGGUUUUUAUUUUAGUUGUGUGGAAUAAUUUUAUUUAAAUGCUUGGGCUAUUGUUUUAAAUAUAGGCCUACGAAUCUUGGCCUUAUUUUUUUUAAAAAAGAAAAAUGUUUGAAUUUACACUAAAUUAUUUAAUGAAUUUAAAUCUCUUGAUUUAAAUUUUAAUAUUUAAAGUUGGGAUUAUUUAUUCUAAAUGAAGUCCAUUCUAUUAUUUAAAUUAUUAAUGGACUUUAAAGCAAAUAUUUUGGGAUUAAGCCCCAUUUAUUAUAUGAUAAAAUUAUUUUCAAAGCUUACGAGUAUGGAUUUCUUUUUUUUAAAUGGUUAAAAUGUUUUAUUUCAUCUCAAUGGAUUUUAAAAUGUUUUAUUAUUUAUAAAUGAAUAAUGGAAUUUCUUAUUUAUUUACAUAAAAAAAAAAUGUAUAGAAUAUAUUAAAUAUGGUUCUUUUUAAAGAAAAAGGAUUAAAUUAUUUUAUGAGUAAUUCCAUUAUAAUGGAAUUAAAAUGUCCUAUUAGAAUGGCUUCAUGUUUUAAUAAAUAUUGAGACUGUUUAUUUACAUGAUAAAAAAAUGUGGAAUUGUGUUAUAGAAUGAUUAAGUAUAUGAUUUACUUUAUCAAAUGAGCUUGGGAUUUAAUUGAGAUAUUAAAUUACUAAGCAUGUGUUUAUAAAUGAUUUAUUUAUUUAAGUGAUGAAAAUGUGCGAAGUAUGAGAAAGCAUGAUUUAUAAUGAUUAAAUUUUCAGAGUAAUAAUAUAUAGCUUGUUCUUAAUUGAUGGAGUACUUGACUAAAUGACGGGUGUAGAAGGAAGUUAUGGAUUAUGUACAUGUUGAUGUUCGAACAAAUGGGUUCGAACCUAUAUGAUAGUUACAUGAUAAUUGGUUACAUUUUAUUGAUUGAAUGAAACGAGAUUAAUAUGGAUGCUAGAACCCUAAAACAUUAAAAGAUACCUUAGGCACGUAGAAUUAGACUUUGUCUUAUGACAAUUUCUUCACGAACUUAUCGACUCUUCAUCAAUGAAGGUCCGGGCGACAGAAAGUGAAGCAGAAGAAGAAACGAUUCCACGCCAGCUUUAAGAACAAUUGAGGUUGAGCAGGCGAUGGAAUGGAUUGGUGUUGAGCGGAUUUCCCUUUUGAUGUUUAUGUAAUGAAACCUUGAGUAUGCAUCUCCAUAUGCAUAACUCACACGUUUUUCCGCUGCAAACACUCUGAAUUUGUUAUCGUAUUGUGGAACUUAUUACUUCUUCAUUUUGUUUAACUUUCAUUUGGGGUUUAGUCGUUAUGGCUGACUCAUUUGUUAAUUACCCAAGUGGUUAUAUAUAUAUAUACCACUAGUUUGUUGUUA